AAGGCCGGCACAGAAGGCAGGCGUGGCCCAAAGCUGACCCUGGCUCCACUUCAUAAUUCCAUGUUAGACCGAUCCUGAUCUGUCUACAGAGAGUCAGGCUGCAGGGCUACCCCCGUGCUGAGCACCCCAGCAUGCUCAAGGGCAGGCCGUGGUGUACACCAGAGACCCAGAGACACCUUGCAAGUACAAAGUAGGUAAGAUACAAAUUAACAUGUACUGAGUGCAUUUGCUUCCCAAGGCUGCCAUAACAAAGUCCGUAAACUGGGUGGCUGAAAAUAACCGAAAUGUAUCCUCUCACAGCUCUGGAGAGUAGAAGUCCAAAAUUAAGGUGUCAUGGGCUUGGAUCCUUCGAAGGGCUAUGAGGGAGAAUCUGUUCUCGGCCUCUCUCCUUGCCUCUGGUGUUUUGGUGGCGAUCUUUGUUGUUCCUUGGCUUGUUGGCGCGUCACUCCAAUCUCUUCAUCUUCACAUGGCCUUUUCCUUGUGUGCAUCUCUGUCUCUGAGUCCAAACUUUCCACCCUAAUGUCUUCAUCUUCACUUAAUCAUCUGCAAGGACCCCAUUUCCAAAUAAGGUCACAUUCACAGGCACUACGGGUUAGAACUUCAACAUCUUUCAAGGGAAUGCAAUUCAAUCCGUAACACUGAGGAGUUAGUAAAAAUAGUUAAUAUCUAUGAAAUAUCAGGAACUGCCGUGACAGUCAUUUUAUAUACAUUAUUCUUAAAUUUUCUUUUCCUUUUUUUCUUUUUUUUUUUGAGAUGGAGUCUCACUCUGUCACCCAGGCUGGAGUGCAAUGGCACGAUCUUGUCUCAAUGCAACCUCCGUG
rnacentral:lncRNA from 1 species